rnacentral:rRNA from 1 species
GUGAACGCUGGCGGUAGGCCUAACACAUGCAAGUCGAACGGCAGCACAGUAAGAGCUUGCUCUUACGGGUGGCGAGUGGCGGACGGGUGAGGAAUACAUCGGAAUCUACUUUUUCGUGGGGGAUAACGUAGGGAAACUUACGCUAAUACCGCCUACGACCUACGGGUGAAAGCAGGGGAACUUCGGACCUUGCGCGAUUGAAUGAGCCGAUGUCGGAUUAGCUAGUUGGCGGGGUAAAGGCCCACCAAGGCGACGAUCCGUAGCUGGUCUGAGAGGAUGAUCAGCCACACUGGAACUGAGACACGGUCCAGACUCCUACGGGAGGCAGCAGUGGGGAAUAUUGGACAAUGGGCGCAAGCCUGAUCCAGCCAUACCGCGUGGGUGAAGAAGGCCUUCGGGUUGUAAAGCCCUUUUGUUGGGAAAGAAAAGCAGCAGGUUAAUACCCCGCUGUUCUGACGGUACCCAAAGAAUAAGCACCGGCUAACUUCGUG